ACCAGCAUGGUACAGUGGUUUGAGUGUUGGACUACAACUCUGGAGACAAGGGUUCAAUUCCCAGGUUGGCU
rnacentral:tRNA from 1 species